rnacentral:rRNA from 1 species
UACGUAGGGGGCUAGCGUUGUCCGGAAUCAUUGGGCGUAAAGAGCGUGUAGGCGGUCCGGUAAGUCCGCUGUGAAAGUCGGGGGCUCAACCCUCGAAUGCCGGUGGAUACUGUCGGGCUAGAGUGCGGAAGAGGCGAGUGGAAUUCCUGGUGUAGCGGUGAAAUGCGCAGAUAUCAGGAGGAACACCUAUUGCGAAGGCAGCUCGCUGGGGACGUAAGCUGACGCUGAGACGCGAAAGCGUGGGGAGCAAACAGG